UGGUUAGCGGGCAGCGAGGGUCGCCUGGGCGGUGCGCAGCACGGCGGGAACAUGGCGCGCGGAACCGGCGCGCGCGCCUAGCUGGCGGGACCGUUAGAUCGAGGCGGAUGCGGCCCGGACCCCGUGGAUAUGGAGCAGUCGCCGCCGCUGGCGCCGGAGCCCACCCAAGGGCCAACCACCGCAAGGAGCUGAAGGCGGCGGGAGCCCGAGUCGCCGCCGGCGUCGGUGCCGUCAAAGAAGAUGGCCAGGGAGACAGCAGCGUGGUCAGAGUGGUAGGAGCUGGCCAUCGGUGAGAGCUGCUCCAUGCCUGGCUGCUGGGUUCUAGAGCUUGUGGACCACUGGCUUGCCUCACUGUGGUUGGUGGUGGCGGUGACAGAGUGUGCAGCACGACCAGAGUGGCUUUUCUGGCUUUGCCCGCCCAGCUGCUCCAUGCCAGGAGGAGGAGGAGACACCUAGAGCCUGCGACACCAUGGCUCGCCUCGCUGCAGCCGAGCAUGGUGGUUCACACCUGUAAUCUCAGCACAUUGGGAGGCCGAGGCGGGUGGAUCAUGAGGUCAAGAGAUCGAGACAAUCCUGGCCAACAUGGUGAAACCCCAUCUCUACUAAAAAUACAAAAAAUUAGCCGGGUGUGGUGCUGCGUGCCUGUAGUCCCAGCUACUGGAGAGGCUGAGGCAGGAGAAUUGCUUGAACCCAGGAGGCAAAGGUUGCAGCAAGCUGAGAUCGCACCACUGCACUCCAGCCUGGUGAUAGACCGAGACUCCAUCUCAAAAAAACAAAAAAAAAAUUAAAUUACUUUGUAUACAUAAAGUUCUAAUUUUUUAAAAAAUUGUAAAAUAUCCUAUACGUUCAUUAGUAUUACUUAUUUGUUUUUAUCACUCCAUCAAUGUGAGGCAUAAAUAAAAUUUGUUAAGUUAAAACUUUCGGUGUACUUUCAUUCAUUUAUUUAUUUAUUUUGAGACAGUUUCGCUCUAUCAUCCAGGCUGGAGUAUAGUGGCAUGAUCUCGGCUCACUGCAACCUCCGCCUCCAAGGCUCAAGUGAUUCUCGUGCCUCAGCCUUCCAAGUAGCUGGGACUACAGGCAUGCACCACCAUGCCUGGCUAAUUUUUAAAAGUCCUAUAUCAUAUAAGAACAUUAGAGUUCUGGGAUUAUUUUUUGUUUGUUUAAGAGACAGGGUCUCACUGUAUUACGCAGGCUGGGGUGCAGUGAUGUGAUCAUAGCUCACUGUAGCCUGGAACUCCUGAGCAAAGCAAUUCUCCCUCC
rnacentral:lncRNA from 1 species